rnacentral:piRNA from 1 species
UAAGGCAGAUGACAAUGUGUUAUGCCACAAG